ensembl:lincRNA
GAUGGCUGAUUUAUGUCAUUUUUAGUCUUUUAGCUAUUUCAUAUGACUUUCAGUUUAAUAAUUUAGCAUAGUAUUACAAGCAAAAAUUAAACUUUCUCUCUGUGUAUCCAAUUUCUUUCUGACCAUGCCACUUCCAUGUGUUCUCUCAGAUAUGAGUUAACAAGACAAAUGAGCAGAGAAACUAUGACUCUCCAUGCUGCAGAAGGAAAAUGCUCCUAGCGAACAUCUGCUUUGGUUCUUAUGGGAAAUUCUAUCCAGGUCAUCAUAACACAAUUGAAAACAACUGAUAAUGAAAAGAAUGCUAAUUGGUUUCCUCUCUCUCUUAUCACUGAUCCGUACACAGACCAAGGACAGAACCCAGAGGGCUAA